AGAGACAGCAGUCGCCGCGGGAAUACGAAGGGUGCAAGCGUUACUCGGAAUUACUGGGCGUAAAGCGUGCGUAGGUGGUGGUUUAAGUCCGUUGUGAAAGCCCUGGGCUCAACCUGGGAAUUGCAGUGGAUACUGGGUCACUAGAGUGUGGUAGAGGAUAGUGGAAUUUCCGGUGUAGCAGUGAAAUGCGUAGAGAUCGGAAGGAACAUCUGUGGCGAAGGCGACUAUCUGGGCCAACACUGACACUGAGGCACGAAAGCGUGGGGAGCAAACAGGAUUAGAUACCCCUGUAGUCCCUGUCUCUUAUAA
rnacentral:rRNA from 1 species